rnacentral:rRNA from 1 species
AACGAACGCUGGCGGCAGGCCUAACACAUGCAAGUCGAACGAUAAGCCACCUUCGGGUGGUGGACAGUGGCAGACGGGUGAGUAACGCGUGGGAACGUGCCUUUCGGUUCGGGAUAACCCAGGGAAACUUGGGCUAAUACCGGAUACGCCCUCCGGGGGAAAGAUUCGUUGCCGAAAGAUCGGCCCGCGUCUGAUUAGCUAGUUGGUGGGGUAAUGGCCCACCAAGGCGACGAUCAGUAGCUGGUCUGAGAGGAUGAUCAGCCUCACUGGGACUGAGACACGGCCCAGACUCCUACGGGAGGCAGCAGUGGGGAAUAUUGGACAAUGGGCGCAAGCCUGAUCCAGCCAUGCCGCGUGGGUGAUGAAGGCCCUAGGGUUGUAGAGCCCUUUCGGCGGGGAAGAUAAUGACGGUACCCGCAGAAGAAGCCCCGGCUAACUUCGUGCCAGCCGCCGCAGUAAGAC